rnacentral:lncRNA from 1 species
UUUAUCUUCAUUGAUGAAGUUCCAAAACAGUGUUCUUGGUUUUCCAAACUAACCAAAAUGAAACAUAAUGUUUUGUCAAACACGAUCUCUCAGCUCAUAAUAUAACUGAUAUUGCAAUGCAACAUGAUAUAAAUAGAUGCUAAAUAUUCACACAGCAGUCAACGUAGGGGCAAACACCAAUGCAAGGCAUUCUCAGCUGGCAAAAAAGUAACCUAAAAAAACCAGAAACAUUUAAACUUCAGAACACUUAGAAAAAUGAAUUUAGACUCUCAUAGAAAUGAGGGAAAGGGGAGUGUUUCAUGACAACACAUAGAUUGGUUAGUAUGUGAUUUU